GAUGAACGCUGGCGGCGUGCUUAACACAUGCAAGUCGAACGAGAAGUUUAGACGGAAACCUUCGGGCGGAAGACUUUAUUUCGAGUGGCUGCCGUGUGAUUAACGCUUGGAUAACCUGCCUCAUACUGGGGGCUAACAGUUGGAAACGACUGUUAAUACCGCAUAAGACCACAGCACCGCAUGCGGCGGGGCUAAAAAAUCCGGUGGAAUGAGAUGGACCCGCGUUGGAUUAGCCAGUUGGCGGGGUAACGGCCCACCAAAGCGACGAUCGAUAGCCGAUCUGAGAGGAUGACCGGCCACAUUGGGACUGAGACACGGCCCAAACUCCUACGGGAGGCAGCAGUGGGGAAUAUUGCACAAUGGGGGAAAGCCUGAUGCAGCGACGCCGCGUGAGUGAAGAAGUAUUUAGGUAUUUAAAGCUCUAUCAGCAGGGAAGAAAAUGACGGUACCUGAGUAAGAAGCCCCGGCUAACUACGUG
rnacentral:rRNA from 1 species